GCUGUAUAGAAGGUGGUUCCAUAUCUUUAAAUAGAGCCCCAGGUCCUUAGCCACCAGAAAGGUUUUCAGGGGAAGUGUGCACCCUCAGCAGCUGCUGCUGGUGAGCAGCAUGGGCACACAUGGAACAGGCUUUCCUCUGUGGCCAGGUGAGAAGCAGGUGGUGAGACACAGAGCAGUGCUGGGCUCUGCUUCUGAAGCCUCCAACCUUUCCUUCCCUAGGAAGCCCCAGAGAGAUUGGUGAGGGUGAUUUCCCAGGAAGACGCAGUGUGCUCUGACUUCUGUGACAGUGAGCAACGGGACCAGUGGAUGUCCAGAUGCUGGCAAUGAGUAGGCCUUCCCUACGCUGGGUGGCGUCCACACCCUCCGGCUUCCAUUGCCUGGGUCUCCUGGAGGUGGUUUGCUGGAUGAAUACCGCAUGCACAGAGGCUGGCCUUGGGUUUGAAUAUGGCAGCCAGUGGACAGCAUGUGCUUCAGUUAUGAGGCUGCCCAGGAGAUGCUUCUUCCAAGGCAGAGCACGUGCAGAGUCCAGUGCUGGAGAGGCCGGGUGCGCAGUUGACCCAUUUCCAGUUCUAUUUUCCCUCUCAUGUUCCUCUGUCCCCAUCUAGGACAUACUCUGGAGUCAGAAGACAGCGAAAAGAGAAGCAGAAGCCCCGGUGGCAAGAGUCUGAAGCAGGAAGGAUGACUGUAGCCUGUGGAUUGUACUGCAGUAGGAAACUGUCCUAGCAAGGCUCCACCUUGCCCCAGCUUCAAGCUGGAAAGGAGGAGAACAUGAAACAUUGCUUGAAGACAAUGGCCGAGACAGCAGGUCCCACCCUGCACAGCCAACAGCAUCUCUCCCCUCAGCCCUGUCUCCUCUUCUGCAG
rnacentral:lncRNA from 1 species